AUUGAACGCUGGCGGCAGGCCUAACACAUGCAAGUCGAACGAGUGGCGGACGGGUGAGUAAUGUCUGGGAAACUGCCUGAUGGAGGGGGAUAACUACUGGAAACGGUAGCUAAUACCGCAUACCAUCGGAUGUGCCCAGAUGGGAUUAGCUAGUAGGUGGGGUAAAGGCUCACCUAGGCGACGAUCCCUAGCUGGUCUGAGAGGAUGACCAGCCAAACUGGGACUGAGACACGGGCCAGACUCCUACGGGAGGCAGCAGUGGGGAAUAUUGCAAAAUGGGGGCAAGCCUGAUGGAGCCAUGCCGGGUGGAUGAAGAAGGCCUUCGGGUUGUAAAGGACUUUCAGUCGGGAGGCGUUACCCGCAGAAGAAGCACCGGCUAACUCCGUGCCAGCAGCCGCGGUAAUAC
rnacentral:rRNA from 1 species